rnacentral:rRNA from 13 species
CAAAGGGCAGCGAAGCCGCGAGGCUAAGCCAAUCCCACAAAUCUGUUCUCAGUUCGGAUCGCAGUCUGCAACUCGACUGCGUGAAGCUGGAAUCGCUAGUAAUCGCGGAUCAGCAUGCCGCGGUGAAUACGUUCCCGGGCCUUGUACACACCGCCCGUCACACCACGAGAGUUUGUAACACCCGAAGUCGGUGAGGUAACCUUUUGGAGCCAGCCGCCGAAGGUGGGACAGAUGAUUGGGGUGAAGUCGAAACAAGGUAGCCGUA